rnacentral:rRNA from 1 species
AUUGAACGCUGGCGGCAGGCCUAACACAUGCAAGUCGAACGAGUGGCGGACGGGUGAGUAAUGUCUGGGAAACUGCUUGAUGGAGGGGGAUAACUACGGGAAAAGGUAGCAAAUACCGCAAACCACCGGAUGUGCCCAGAUGGGAUUAGCUAGUAGGGGGGGUAAAGGCUCACCUAGGCGACGAUCACUAGCUGGUCUGAGAGGAUGACCAGCCACACUGGAACUGAGACACGGUCCAGACUCCUACGGGAGGCAGCAGUGGGGAAUAUUGCACAAUGGGCGCAAGCCUGAUGCAGCCAUGCCGCGUGAAUGAAGAAGGCCUUCGGGUUGUAAAGUACUUUCAGCGGGGAGGCGUUACCCGCCGAAAAAGCACCGGCUAACUCCGUGCCAGCAGCCGCGGUAAUAC